ensembl:lncRNA novel transcript
ACGUUGGUGGUACGUUGGUGGUAGAGUAAGGGUGGAAAACCAGGAAGGAGGAGAAGGCCAGGGAGGGCACAAAAGUCAAAGAAAACAAUUAUCGGGGACAUGGGGAUAGUGUGGACCAGCUUUGUUGGCAUCCAAGUAAUCCUGACCUAUUUGUUACGGCGUCCGGAGAUAAAACCAUUCGCAUCUGGGAUGUGAGGACUACAAAAUGCAUUGCCACUGUGAACACUAAAGGGGAGAACAUUAAUAUCUGCUGGAGUCCUGAUGGGCAGACCAUUGCUGUAGGCAACAAGGAUGAUGUGGUGACCUUUAUUGAUGCCAAGACACACCGUUCCAAAGCAGAAGAGCAGUUCAAGUUCGAGGUCAACGAAAUCUCCUGGAACAAUGACAAUAAUAUGUUCUUCCUGACAAAUGGCAAUGGUUGUAUCAACAUCCUCAGCUACCCAGAACUGAAGCCUGUGCAGUCCAUCAACGCCCAUCCUUCCAACUGCAUCUGUAUCAAGUUUGACCCCAUGGGGAAGUACUUUGCCACAGGAAGUGCAGAUGCUUUGGUCAGCCUCUGGGAUGUGGAUGAGUUAGUGUGUGUUCGGUGCUUUUCCAGGCUGGAUUGGCCUGUAAGAACCCUCAGUUUCAGCCAUGAUGGGAAAAUGCUGGCGUCAGCAUCGGAAGAUCAUUUUAUUGACAUUGCUGAAGUGGAGACAGAUAUUAUCUGAAGCUUUAAAGCCUCCUGGAGUGAAAGCUAGUUCAUAACCACGCUGUUUGGAGCGAAGAAAACUACCUGGAAUUCUUGUUCUCCAAAGAUAUGGAAUUAUCCCAGCAACAGCCGUCCUUCACUGCUCUGUCCUGAGGACCCUCAGGUGUGGCCCAUCCAGCCCCUCAGUGUUUACCUCUGUCCUAAGGACUCUCAGGUGUGGGCGAUCCAGCCCCUUAGUGUUUCCCUCUGUUUUGGAGAUCCUCAGGUAUGGUCAAUCCUAUUAGUGUUUUCCUUUGUACUGGGGAUGCUCAGGUGUGAUCUAUCCAUCUUCUCAGUGUUUUACCUCGUUCCUGGAGACCCUCAGGUUCCAUCCAUCCAUCCAAUUGGUUUUUACCUCUGUCCUGGAGACCCUGAGGUGUGGUCUAUCCAUCC